rnacentral:rRNA from 1 species
CCUACGGGAGGCAGCAGUGAGGAAUAUUGGUCAAUGGGCGAGAGCCUGAACCAGCCAAGUCGCGUGAGGGAGUAAGGUCCUAUGGGUUGUAAACCUCUUUUGUCGGGGAGCAAAAGCCGGACGUGUCCGGCUGUGAGGGUACCCGAAGAAAAAGCAACGGCGAACGCCGGGCCAGCAGCCGCGGUAAUACGGAGGAUGGGAGCGUUAUACGGAUUUAGUGGGGUUAAAGGGUGCGCAGGCGGAUUUUUAAGUCAGCGGUCAAAUCCUGGGGCCAAACCCCAGCCAGCCGUUGAAACUGGGGAUCUAGAGUGUGCGAGAGGUAUGCGGAAUGCGUGGUGUAGCGGUGAAAUGCAUAGAUAUCACGCAGAACCCCGAUUGCGAAGGCAGCAUACCGGUGCACAACUGACGCUCAGGCACGAAAGCGUGGGUAUCGAACAGGAUUAGAUACCCUGGUAGUC